rnacentral:rRNA from 1 species
AGUCGAACGGGGUAUCAGGGUAGCAAUACCCGAAGUACCUAGUGGCGAACGGGUGCGUAACACGUGAGCAACCUACCCCAGAGCUUGGAAUAACACCGGGAAACCGGUGCUAAUACCGAAUACUCUCAUUGAGCCGCAUGACGCGAUGAGGAAAGAUUUAUCACUCUGGGACGGGCUCGCGGCCUAUCAGCUUGUUGGUGAGGUAACGGCUCACCAAGGCUACGACGGGUAGCUGGUCUGAGAGGACGAUCAGCCACACUGGGACUGAGACACGGCCCAGACUCCUACGGGAGGCAGCAGUGGGGAAUAUUGCGCAAUGGGCGAAAGCCUGACGCAGCAACGCCGCGUGGAGGAUGAAGGCUUUCGGGUUGUAAACUCCUUUCAGCAGGGACGAAACUGACGGUACCUGCAGAAGAAGCCCCGGCUAACUACGUGCCAGCAGCCGCGGUGAGACGUAGGGGGCAAGCGUUGUCCGGAUUUAUUGGGCGUAAAGAGCUCGUAGGCGGCUUGGCAAGCCGGAUGUGAAAUCUCCAGGCUUAACCUGGAGUCGCCAUCCGAUACUGCUAUGGCUAGAGUCCGGUAGAGGAUCGUGGAAUUCCUGGUGUAGCGGUGAAAUGCGCAGAUAUCAGGAGGAACACCAACGGCGAAGGCAGCGAUCUGG